UACGGAGGGUGCGAGCGUUGUUCGGAAUCACUGGGCGUAAAGCGCGUGUAGGCGGUCUGCUAAGUCUGAUGUGAAAGCCCGGGGCUCACCCCCGGAAGUGCAUUGGAAACUGACAGACUGGAGUCUCGGAGAGGAGGGUGGAAUUCCUGGUGUAGCGGUGAAAUGCGUAGAUAUCAGGAGGAACACCGGUGGCGAAGGCGGCCCUCUGGACGGUGACUGACGCUGAGACGCGAAAGCGUGGGGAGCAAACAGG
rnacentral:rRNA from 1 species